AUUGAACGCUGGCGGCAGGCCUAACACAUGCAAGUCGAGCGGUAACACAGAGAGCUUGCUCUCGGGUGACGAGCGGCGGACGGGUGAGUAAUGUCUGGGAAACUGCCUGAUGGAGGGGGAUAACUACUGGAAACGGUAGCUAAUACCGCAUAACGUCGCAAGACCAAAGUGGGGGACCUUCGGGCCUCAUGCCAUCAGAUGUGCCCAGAUGGGAUUAGCUAGUAGGUGGGGUAAUGGCUCACCUAGGCGACGAUCCCUAGCUGGUCUGAGAGGAUGACCAGCCACACUGGAACUGAGACACGGUCCAGACUCCUACGGGAGGCAGCAGUGGGGAAUAUUGCACAAUGGGCGCAAGCCUGAUGCAGCCAUGCCGCGUGUAUGAAGAAGGCCUUCGGGUUGUAAAGUACUUUCAGCGAGGAGGAAGGCGUUAAGGUUAAUAACCUUGGCGAUUGACGUUACUCGCAGAAGAAGCACCGGCUAACUCCGUGCCAGCCGCCGCCGUAACAC
rnacentral:rRNA from 1 species